rnacentral:rRNA from 14 species
GUAACAGCUCAAAUUUGAAAGCUAGCUCUUUUAGGGUUCGCAUUGUAAUUUGUAGAAGAUGCUUCGGGUGUGGCCCCGGUCUAAGUUCCUUGGAACAGGACGUCAUAGAGGGUGAGAAUCCCGUAUGUGACAGGAAAUGGCACCCUAUGUAAAUCUCCUUCGACGAGUCGAGUUGUUUGGGAAUGCAGCUCAAAAUGGGAGGUAAAUUUCUUCUAAAGCUAAAUACUGGCCAGAGACCGAUAGCGCACAAGUAGAGUGAUCGAAAGAUGAAAAGCACUUUGGAAAGAGAGUUAAACAGUACGUGAAAUUGUUGAAAGGGAAGCGCUUGCAAUCAGACUUGUUUAAACUGUUCGGCCGGUCUUCUGACCGGUUUACUCAGUUUGGACAGGCCAGCAUCAGUUUCGGCGGCCGGAUAAAGGCUCUGGGAAUGUGGCCUCCACUUCGGUGGAGGUGUUAUAGCCCAGGGUGUAAUACGGCCAGCCGGGACUGAGGUCCGCGCUUCGGCUAGGAUGCUGGCGUAAUGGUUGUAAGCGACCCGUCUUGGAACACGGACCAAGGAGUCUAACAUCUAUGCGAG